rnacentral:rRNA from 1 species
AGUGAACGCUGGCGGUAGGCCUAACACAUGCAAGUCGAACGGCAGCACAGUAAGAGCUUGCUCUUACGGGUGGCGAGUGGCGGACGGGUGAGGGAUACAUCGGAAUCUACUUUUUCGUGGGGGAUAACGUAGGGAAACUUACGCUAAUACCGCAUACGACCUACGGGUGAAAGCAGGGGAUCUUCGGACCUUGCGCGAUUGAAUGAGCCGAUGUCGGAUUAGCUAGUUGGCGGGGUAAAGGCCCACCAAGGCGACGAUCCGUAGCUGGUCUGAGAGGAGGAUCAGCCACACUGGAACUGGGACACGGUCCAGACUCCUACGGGAGGCAGCAGUGGGGAAUAUUGGACAAUGGGCGCAAGCCUGAUCCAGCCAUACCGCGUGGGUGAAGAAGGCCUUCGGGUUGUAAAGCCCUUUUGUUGGGAAAGAAAAGCAGCAGGUUAAUACCCCGCUGUUCUGACGGUACCCAAAGAAUAAGCACCGGCUAACUUCGUG